rnacentral:rRNA from 1 species
UACGUAGGGUGCGAGCGUUAAUCGGAAUUACUGGGCGUAAAGCGUGCGCAGGCGGGUAUUUAAGGCAGGUGUGAAAUCCCCGGGCUUAACCUGGGAACUGCGCUUGUUACUGGCAGGCUUGAGUGUGGCAGAGGGGGGUGGAAUUCCACGUGUAGCAGUGAAAUGCGUAGAGAUGUGGAGGAACACCGAUGGCGAAGGCAGCCCCCUGGGCUAACACUGACGCUCAUGCACGAAAGCGUGGGGAGCAAACAGG